UGAAGGAGGUUCAAAUGGCUUGGCACUUGAAAUGUCAAGUAAGUGUUCUUAAACUUUAAAUUAAGUUAUGCUCUACAGUGUUAAGUUUAUGCAAUCCAUCCUCAGUUACGAAAGUAAGUUUUCCUAACCUGCUCAUUAUUCAUUUUCUUUUAAGACCUAGGACAGUAUGUAACUUGUAGAACUCUCAAUGCAUUGAUAAUUUUUUUUUUUUUUUUUUUAGCUAUGCAAUAGUUAUCUAUGUGUAUGAAUUUUUACACAAAUCUGUUGAGUAUAUACAUUAAUUUUGACUGUUUAAGUUGUACUGACAGUAUGUAACUGGUAUAAUUCUCAAUGCAUGAUUAGUUGUACUA